rnacentral:rRNA from 1 species
GACGAACGCUGGCGGCGUGCUUAACACAUGCAAGUCGAACGGAAAGGCCUUGCUUUUGUGGGGUGCUCGAGUGGCGAACGGGUGAGUAACAAGUGAGUAACCUGCCCUUGACUUUGGGAUGACUUCAGGAAACUGGGGCUAAUACCUGAUAGAAGCGCCUGCUGCACGGUGGGGGUUGGAAAGUUUCGGCGGCUGGGGAUGGACUCGCGGCUUAUCAGCUUGUUGGUGGGGUAGUGGCUUACCAAGGCUUUGACGGGUAGCCGGACUGAGAGGGUGACCGGCCACAGUGGGACUGAGAUACGGCCCAGACUGCUACGGGAGGCAGCAGUGGGGAAUAGUGCACGAUGGGCGGAAGCCGGAUGCAGCAACGCCGCGUGCGGGAUGACGGCCUUCGGGUUGUAAACCGCUUUCGCCUGUGACGAAGCGUGAGUGACGGUAAUGGGUAAAGAAGCACCGGCUAACUACGUG